rnacentral:rRNA from 1 species
AAAGAAAUCGUUAAGGGCGUAUGGCGGAUGCCUAGGCUUUCAGAGGCGAAGAAGGACGCGGUAAGCUGCGAAAAGCUGCGGGGAUCGGCACACACGAAUUGAUCCGCAGAUGUCCGAAUGGGGCAACCCGGCAUGUUGAAGACAUGUCACUCUAAUUUAUUAGAGAGCAAACCAGGAGAACUGAAACAUCUAAGUACCCUGAGGAAAAGAAAUCGAAGAGAUUCCGUAAGUAGCGGCGAGCGAAAGCGGAUUAGCCCAAAAGUCUUUAUAUGUUUAAUAGAAUGUUCUGGAAAGAACAGCCAUAGAGGGUGAUAGCCCCGUAAAUGAAAGGCAUAUUUGGAUGAUAAAUGAGUAGGGCGGGACACGUGAAAUCCUGUCUGAAUAUGGGGGGACCAUCCUCCAAGGCUAAAUACUCCUGAAAGACCGAUAGUGAACAAGUACUGUGAAGGAAAGGUGAAAAGCACUUCGAAUAGAAGGGUGAAAUAGAACCUGAAACCGUACGCCUACAAGCGGUCGGAGCCCACAAGUUGGGUGACGGCGUGCCUUUUGCAUAAUGAGCCUACGAGUUAAUUUUGCUAGCGAGGUUAAGGACUUAAGGUCCGGAGCCGGAGCGAAAGCGAGUCUGAAUAGGGCGCUUAGUUAGCAGGAUUAGACGCGAAACCUUGUGAUCUACCCAUGGGCAGGUUGAAGCUCUGGUAACACAGAGUGGAGGACCGAACCGGUUGACGUUGAAAAGUCUUCGGAUGACCUGUGGGUAGGGGUGAAAGGCCAAUCAAACUGGGAGAUAGCUCGUACUCUCCGAAAUGCAUUUAGGUGCAGCGUCGUAUAUAAGUUUAUUAGAGGUAGAGCUACUGAUUGGAUGCGGGGGUUUCAUCGCCUACCAAUUCCUGACAAACUCCGAAUGCUAAUAAAUGUUCUACGGCAGUGAGGGCAUGGGUGCUAAGGUCCAUGUCCGAGAGGGAAAGAACCCAGACCAACAGCUAAGGUCCCCAAAUCUCUAUUAAGUUGAAGCAACGCGGUUGGACUGCAUUGACAGCUAGGAUGUUGGCUUGGAAGCAGCCAUUCAUUUAAAGAGUGCGUAACAGCUCACUAGUCGAGCGGUCCGGCAUGGAUAAUAAUCGGGCAUAAAUAGAGUACCGAAGCUAUGGAUUUGUAUCUUAGGGAUACAUCUGGUAGGAGAGCAUUCUGUUUGCAC